rnacentral:tRNA from 1 species
GCCGGUGUAGCUCAGUUGGCAGAGCAAUUCAUUCGUAAUGAAUAGGCCAGAGGUUCGAAUCCUCUCACCGGCACCA